rnacentral:rRNA from 1 species
UCAGACGAUGCGUCAUGCAUAUCAAUAAGCGGAGGAAAAGAAACUAACAAGGAUUCCCCUAGUAACGGCGAGUGAAGCGGGAAGAGCUCAAAUUUGAAAUCUUAAAGGGUUUCCCUUUACGAAUUGUAGUUUAAAGAAGUGUUUUCUGUUGAGGUUUUGGUAAAAGUUCUUUGGAAUAGGACAUCAUAGAGGGUGAGAAUCCCGUAUUUGACCUUUACUUUCAACUUUGUGAUACACUUUCAAAGAGUCGGAUUGUUUGGGAAUGCAGUCCAAAAUGGGUGGUAAAUUUCAUCCUAAAGCUAAAUAUUGGCGAGAGACCGAUAGCGAACAAGUACCGUGAGGGAAAGAUGAAAAGAACUUUGAAAAGAGAGUUAAACAGUACGUGAAAUUGUCAAAAGGGAAGCGUUUGACACCAGUGCUUGUUUUUCUGAAAAUCAAUUAAAGAACUGUUUAUGCUAAGCUGUUUAGACUUUAUCAGCUAUCUGUUUAGUUUUAGGCUUUUCUUUAAUGCACUUUUCAGUUAACAAGUCAACAUCAAUUUCUUUUGCUGUAAAAAAGCUUGAGGAAGGUGGCUUGAGAUUCGUCUUAAGUGUUUAUAGCCUCUUGCCUAUGCAGUCGGAGAGAUUGAGGUCUGCAGCGUAGAUCCUUCGGGGCUAAAUGCAUUUGUGCUAAGUUAUAGCAUUUUAUAGACAACUUGUUGACUAUGAUUUGUCUUGUAGCUUACUCGCUUAUGUUAUUUUACCUACGCUUAGGAUGUUGACACACGCGCGUGCUCG